CAGUCGCCGCGGGAAUACGUAGGUGGCAAGCGUUGUCCGGAAUUAUUGGGCGUAAAGCGCGCGCAGGCGGAUCAGUUAGUCUGUCUUAAAAGUUCGGGGCUUAACCCCGUGAUGGGAUGGAAACUGCUGAUCUAGAGUAUCGGAGAGGAAAGUGGAAUUCCUAGUGUAGCGGUGAAAUGCGUAGAUAUUAGGAAGAACACCAGUGGCGAAGGCGACUUUCUGGACGAAAACUGACGCUGAGGCGCGAAAGCCAGGGGAGCGAACGGGAUUAGAUACCCCCGUAGUCCCUGUCUCUUAUACA
rnacentral:rRNA from 1 species